GACGAACGCUGGCGGCGUGCUUAACACAUGCAAGUCGAACGGAAAGGCCCUGCUUUUGUGGGGUGCUCGAGUGGCGAACGGGUGAGUAACACGUGAGUAACCUGCCCUUGACUUUCGGAUAACUUCAGGAAACUGGGGCUAAUACCGGAUAGGAGCUCCUGCUGCAUGGUGGGGGUUGGAAAGUUUCGGCGGUUGGGGAUGGACUCGCGGCUUAUCAGCUUGUUGGUGGGGUAGUGGCUUACCAAGCCUUUGACGGGUAGCCGGCCUGAGAGCGUGAACGGGGACAAGGGGACUGAGAGACGGAGCAGACGGCAACGGGAGGCAGCAGGGGGGAGUAUGGCACAAUGGGCGGAAGCCUGAGACAGAAACGCCGCGUGCGGGAUGACGUCCUUCGGGUGGUAAACAGCUUUCGCCUGUGACGAAGCGGUAGUGACGGUAAUGGGUAAAGAAGCACCGGCUAACUACGUG
rnacentral:rRNA from 1 species